GUGCACCAGUCGCGAAACCUCCGCAAUACACGAAAGUGUGACGGGCCAUCCCGAGUGCCGUCCGCUGAGGACGGCUUUCCCCAGUGUACAUAGCUGGGGAAUAAGGAGAGGGCAAGCCUGGUGUCAGCCGCCGCGGUAAUACCAGCUCUCCGAGUGGUGGGGACGCUUAUUGGGCCUAAAGCAUCCGUAGCCGGCUGGGCAAGUCCUCCGUUAAAUCCAACGAUUCAAUCGUUGGGCUGCGGGGGAUACUGUCCAGCUUGGGGCGGGAGAGGCCGACGGUAUUCCCGGGGUAGGGGUGAAAUCCUAUAAUCCCGGGAGGACCACCAGUGGCGAAGGCUGUCGGCUAGAACGCGCCCGACGGUGAGGGAUGAAAGCUGGGGGAGCGAACCGGAUUAGAUA
rnacentral:rRNA from 1 species